rnacentral:rRNA from 1 species
UACGUCGGGCGCGAGCGUUAAUCGGAAUUACUGGGCGUAAAGCGUGCGCAGGCGGUUUUGUAAGCCAGAUGUGAAAUCCCCGGGCUCAACCUGGGAAUGGCAUUUGGGACUGCAAGGCUGGAGUGCGGCAGAGGAGACUGGAAUUCCUGGUGUAGCAGUGAAAUGCGUAGAUAUCAGGAGGAAUACCGAUGGCGAAGGCAGGUCUCUGGGCUGACACUGACGCUCAUGCACGAAAGCGUGGGGAGCAAACAGG